GAUGAACGCUAGCUACAGGCUUAACACAUGCAAGUCGCGGGGCAGCAUGGGGGUUGCUUGCAAUCCCCGAUGGCGACCGGCGCACGGGUGAGUAACGCGUAUCCAACCUGCCCUUCACCACGGGAUAGCCCGGCGAAAGUCGGACUAAUACCGUAUGUUGUCCAUUGACGGCAUCCGAUUUGGACGAAAGGUUUGGCGGUGAAGGAUGGGGAUGCGUCCGAUUAGCUGGACGGCGGGGUGACGGCCCACCGUGGCGACGAUCGGUAGGGGUUCUGAGAGGAAGGUCCCCCACACUGGAACUGAGACACGGUCCAGACUCCUACGGGAGGCAGCAGUGAGGAAUAUUGGUCAAUGGGCGUAAGCCUGAACCAGCCAAGUAGCGUGCAGGAUGACGGCCCUAUGGGUUGUAAACUGCUUUUAUGCGGGGAUAAAGUGGCCCACGUGUGGGUUUUUGCAGGUACCGCAUGAAUAAGGACCGGCUAAUUCCGUG
rnacentral:rRNA from 1 species